rnacentral:lncRNA from 1 species
CGCCUUUCUGCCACACCAUUCAACUGCGGUGUCCUAGGUGGCGUCAAUUGCGAAACUAUUCCGCAUUCCUUGAGAUAGUCGUGGAAUUCAAGACUUAGGUACUCUCCUCCUCGAUCGGAUCGAAACAUCUUGAUUUUCCUGCCCAAUUGAUUCUCCACUUCAUUCUUGAACUCUUUGAACUUUUCAAACGUUUCCGACGUGUGCUUGAUUAAGUAAAUAUACCCAUAUCUACUAUAAUCAUCGGUGAAAGUCACGUAGAAGCAGUUCCCAUCCUUUGUGGUGGAUCUAAACGACACACUUACAUUAGUAUGUAUGAGAUCCAAUAAACCCUCACCCCUAUCACAAGUGCCAGUGAAUGGUGACUUGGUCAUCUUUCCAAGUAAACAAGAUUCACACGUGUCAUCUUCCCUAAGGUCGAAUGACUCCAACACUCCAUCCUUUUGGAGUUGGGCUAUGCGCUUCUUGUAGACAUGUCCAAGACGACAAUGCCACAAAGAUGCUUUAUCCAUACCAUUGGAAGAAUCCAUACGUAAUACAUCAUUUCCUAGGUUAUCUAGAACCAUAACACUUUCAUAAAUUCCAUUACAAGGCAUUGCUUCAAAGUAUAAACCACCAUUUAUAUAAGCAUAAAUAGAACCAUUCUCAUUAUUAAACGAAUAUCUAAAUCCUUGUCUAAAUAAACCAUGAAAUGAAAUGAUGUUUCUUGCCAUAUCUGGCGAGUAGCAACAAUUAUUUAAAUCUAAAUUCAAUCCAUUACUAAGCACUAAAGAAUACACUCCAAUCUUGGUAACAGGCGACGAUCUUCUGUUCCCCAUGAUUAGAUUUAUUCUUCCAAGCUCCACAUCCCUAUUUCUUCCUAGUCCCUGCAAAUCAGAACAAAUAUGGUAACCACACCCUGUAUCAAGAACCCAAGAAAUAGCAUGAGAUGAAUCAUUAGAUUUAAUUGUGUAAAUACCUGCAAAAAAGAUGGAUUGAUCUUUCCAUCCUUGAUGGCGUGCAGAUAUUCCGGGCAGCUUCUCUUCCAAUGCCAUAUUUUGUGGCAAUGAUGGCACUCUGCCUCCUUUGGGUCAGGGCUGGGCUUAGCAGGAUCAACCUUGGUCCCACUAGAAGAGGAACCAUCUUGGGACUUUCCCUUGCAGUGGAUCUUUGACGGAGCCUUCCUCUUCUUGCCCAUUCCCUACCCUAUAGCCAAAACAGGAGCAACGAAUGGAUUGGGAGUUGGUGCAGCAGACUUGUCCUUUAGGUUUCUCUCAGCAGUCCUUAGGAGCCCUUGGAGUUUGCUUAGGGUGAACUCUUCCUUGUUCAUGUGGUAGGUCAUCCUAAAUUGGUUGUAGCAUGAGGGCAAGGAGUGAAGAACAAUGUCGAUGGCCAAAUCCUCCCCAAAGAUAACAUUUAACUUGCGAAGACGAUCAAAAUAUCUUUGCAUCUUUUGCAAGUGCACGGUAAGAGAUUCUCCACUUCCAAUUUUAGCAGUGAUCAUAUUCGUGAUGAUCUCAUUGUGCUCUUGCCUCGCGCUUUGGUGGUACCUCUCCAUUAGGUCUUGAUGCAUAUCAUACGGAUACAUGUCCUCAUAGUACUUUUGGAAUUCUUGGUUCAUUGUGGCUAUCAUGAUGCAAUGGACCUUCUUUGCAUCACGUUCAUGGGUCUCAAAGACAGCCAUCUCUUUGGGAGUAGCGAUUUCUGGGUUGACUUUCUCAAGCUUUUCGUCGAGGACAUACUCUUUGUCCUCGUAGUGUGCGAUCGUGUGAAUGUAUCUUAUCCACUCGCUAAAGUUCGAUCCAUCGAAAGUUACCUUUUGGCAAGGACUCAUUAACGUGAAUGAGUUAGCAGCAACGUUGUUUGCGUUCGACAUCUACAAAUAGAAAGGACAAAGUUUGAUUAGAAUUGAAUCCCUAAUUAAACACCCAAAAUGAAAAAUUAGGGCUAGGACCCAACAAUAUUAUUCACAUAUUAGAAAAGGGAUGCCAUAAUCCAACACACAAAUAAUUUGGAGGUAAGUGAAUGGCGAUUCACUAAUUCUUCACCAUGAAAACAUAACCUUAAGUUUUAAAUGCAUUGAGAAUUCCUAGAUUUUCUUGGAGAUUCAUUGAAAUUUUCAAUGGCAUGUUUAAAUCUCGAUAUGCCCCUGUCGUUUGUGACUGGAAUACCGAGGAUCACAAAGUGGGUGUGCCGGUAAACCACACAUGCUCCAUCGAACUAUGAAAAACAAUGAAUCACCCUUUGCCACCUUUUCUUAGAACCAAUUAGUGUGCCGAUAAACCACACACGCUCCACUAACUUCUUAGCAAGGGUGCAAAGUGUAAUUUCAUGGGAUUGCAUCAAUUCACUUUUCCUUAAAGUAACUAGGAUUGGGAAUUUGGAAAAACAUGUAGUUACUUUAUAUUUUAACAUUAUACUUUUAAUGAGAAGAGAGAGUUUCCCUAUCCUACCCGUUCGGCUAACGACCCUCCACCAGUCAAGCAAGCGGUGGGUGUGAGUGUACACCCAUUAAGCGCCAUUUUAUAGGCAGCAACCUUAUACCCACCUUAUAGACCGGCUUCGUGAAUGAGGCCUACUAACGGUAAGACUAGCAUUUUAAUUAUACUUAUANAGACAUGUCCAAGACGACAAUGCCACAAAGAUGCUUUAUCCAUACCAUUGGAAGAAUCCAUACGUAAUACAUCAUUUCCUAGGUUAUCUAGAACCAUAACACUUUCAUAAAUUCCAUUACAAGGCAUUGCUUCAAAGUAUAAACCACCAUUUAUAUAAGCAUAAAUAGAACCAUUCUCAUUAUUAAACGAAUAUCUAAAUCCUUGUCUAAAUAAACCAUGAAAUGAAAUGAUGUUUCUUGCCAUAUCUGGCGAGUAGCAACAAUUAUUUAAAUCUAAAUUCAAUCCAUUACUAAGCACUAAAGAAUACACUCCAAUCUUGGUAACAAGCGACGAUCUUCUGUUCCACAUGAUUAGAUUUAUUCUUCCAAGCUCCACAUCCCUAUUUCUUCCUAGUCCCUGCAAAUCAGAACAAAUAUGGUAACCACACCCUGUAUCAAGAACCCAAGAAAUAGCAUGAGAUGAAUCAUUAGAUUUAAUUGUGUAAAUACCUGCAAAAAAGAUGGAUUGAUCUUUCCAUCCUUGAUGGCGUGCAGAUAUUCCGGGCAGCUUCUCUUCCAAUGCCAUAUUUUGUGGCAAUGAUGGCACUCUGCCUCCUUUGGGUCAGGGCUGGGCUUAGCAGGAUCAACCUUGGUCCCACUAGAAGAGGAACCAUCUUGGGACUUUCCCUUGCAGUGGAUCUUUGACGGAGCCUUCCUCUUCUUGCCCAUUCCCUACCCUAUAGCCAAAACAGGAGCAACGAAUGGAUUGGGAGUUGGUGCAGCAGACUUGUCCUUUAGGUUUCUCUCAGCAGUCCUUAGGAGCCCUUGGAGUUUGCUUAGGGUGAACUCUUCCUUGUUCAUGUGGUAGGUCAUCCUAAAUUGGUUGUAGCAUGAGGGCAAGGAGUGAAGAACAAUGUCGAUGGCCAAAUCCUCCCCAAAGAUAACAUUUAACUUGCGAAGACGAUCAAAAUAUCUUUGCAUCUUUUGCAAGUGCACGGUAAGAGAUUCUCCACUUCCAAUUUUAGCAGUGAUCAUAUUCGUGAUGAUCUCAUUGUGCUCUUGCCUCGCGCUUUGGUGGUACCUCUCCAUUAGGUCUUGAUGCAUAUCAUACGGAUACAUGUCCUCAUAGUACUUUUGGAAUUCUUGGUUCAUUGUGGCUAUCAUGAUGCAAUGGACCUUCUUUGCAUCACGUUCAUGGGUCUCAAAGACAGCCAUCUCUUUGGGAGUAGCGAUUUCUGGGUUGACUUUCUCAAGCUUUUCGUCGAGGACAUACUCUUUGUCCUCGUAGUGUGCGAUCGUGUGAAUGUAUCUUAUCCACUCGCUAAAGUUCGAUCCAUCGAAAGUUACCUUUUGGCAAGGACUCAUUAACGUGAAUGAGUUAGCAGCAACGUUGUUUGCGUUCGACAUCUACAAAUAGAAAGGACAAAGUUUGAUUAGAAUUGAAUCCCUAAUUAAACACCCAAAAUGAAAAAUUAGGGCUAGGACCCAACAAUAUUAUUCACAUAUUAGAAAAGGGAUGCCAUAAUCCAACACACAAAUAAUUUGGAGGUAAGUGAAUGGCGAUUCACUAAUUCUUCACCAUGAAAACAUAACCUUAAGUUUUAAAUGCAUUGAGAAUUCCUAGAUUUUCUUGGAGAUUCAUUGAAAUUUUCAAUGGCAUGUUUAAAUCUCGAUAUGCCCCUGUCGUUUGUGACUGGAAUACCGAGGAUCACAAAGUGGGUGUGCCGGUAAACCACACAUGCUCCAUCGAACUAUGAAAAACAAUGAAUCACCCUUUGCCACCUUUUCUUAGAACCAAUUAGUGUGCCGAUAAACCACACACGCUCCACUAACUUCUUAGCAAGGGUGCAAAGUGUAAUUUCAUGGGAUUGCAUCAAUUCACUUUUGCCUAAAGUAACUAGGAUUGGGAAUUUGGAAAAACAUGUAGUUACUUUAUUUUUAACAUUAUGUUUUUAAUGAGAAUAGAGAGUUUCCCUAUCCUACCCGUUCGGCUAACGACCCUCCACCAGUCAAGCAAGCGGUGGGUGUGAGUGUACACCCAUUAAGCGCCAUUUUAAAGGCAGCAAACUUAUACCCACCUUAUAGACCGGCUUCGUGAAUGAGGCCUACUAACGGUAAGACUAGCAUUUUAAUUAUACUUAUACAUAUUCAUUAAGCUUUUAAUAAUAUAAUAGUAUAGGGUUGAAUUUUUAAACUUGUAAAACUCUAGGGGUUGAAAUUUAAAUUCUUCUAAAUUAAACUUUUAAUCACAAAAUUCAAAUCUCAAAACUUCGGGACAAAUUUUGAACUUUUCAAAACUAAAGGGAUCAUAUAACAAAUAAUUCAAAUAACUAAUUUCAUAAUUAUCCAUAUUUGGCCUAAUCCAAUUUUAGUCAUUAGAUAAUUACCAAAUAAUUUUAAAUAGUCCAUAUUUAUCAUAUAAAUAACCAAUAUUCAAAAGAUUUGAAAUUAUCUAUUGUUAUGUCAAGGAUAGUCAUAAAAUUAAGUCAAAAUUCGGAUUUUAACAUAACAAAACGAUUUUGGUAUCAAAUCCAAGAAAAAACAUCAACAAAAUCCUGAAAUAUCCUCUACCUGACGCUCAGACUCGUCGAAUAGGGCCAACUCGCCGAGUCCAGACACUGACUCGCCGAGUUGAGUCGGGAAGAGGCCAAGAAAAACGAUUUUCAGCAAGCAAAACAGUUAAGCAUCACACUCAAUUGAAACCAAUCAAGGAUUUGAUACCACUGAUGGGUUUGAGCCAUAAGAACUUUCCUAUGUGCACAUGCAAACCCUAAUGCUUGGAUCUAGGUUUCUCUAAUUGAACAUGCUUUAUAUCCAAGACUUUGAAUCAUAGAUAUAGUGUAAACAAACGAUUCAUAACAAAUGAAAUCAGAUCUAGAAGAAUACCUUGAGUUACUUGCUUGAAAAUUUAUUUUCCUUGGAGCUUAGAGUCACAAUUGUCACUCCUCUAAUGGCUUACAAACACCUACUAGCAAGAAUAUGAUUUGAGAGAGGGAGAGAGGUGAGAAAUCGGCUCUAGGGUUUCCUCAAAACAUAGAGUAUCCGAUUUCUCCAACCCUAAGGGUCUAUUUAUACUAUGUGCUCCUAGGGUUUCACCUUAAACCCUAAUUGGAUAACUUAGCCUCAAAGCAAUCCAAAGAUCCUUCUAGAUAAGGCCUUGGAUGAUUUCUAAGAUAUCUAUAUCCUUAAAACCGUCCCUUCCCAUAUCCAUAAGGAUUCAUAGCCCAAAACACAACUAUCACACAUUUGACAGUUUAUGCCCCUUUAUUCAAUUAAUCUCUUUAAGUCACCAAAUUAAUUCCUAAUUAAUUUAUGACUUAUAUCAAUCAAAUAAUAUUAUUAUUCCUUUAACAUAUUAUUCUUAUAAAAAUUCCUAAUAAUAAUAUCUCUUCUUUCUAUAUAAUCACCUUGUCAAGUUGCUAUGGUGAAGGCAACCCGAAAGGACUAUACACAACCGGGUCAAGUACUUACCAAAUAUAGUUACAACCUUAGACACUAAUCCAACAAGUAUACUAACUACCUCCGAAGUCUAAAACACAUGCUCGCAACAUAUCCUCUAGAGUCUGGAUGAUCCGCUCACUCUGACCAUCUUUCUGUGGGUGAAAAGCGGUGCUGAAGUGUAGACGAGUACCCAACUCGUCAUGAAACUUCUUCAAGAAUCUUGAAGUAAACCGUACGUCUCGGUUCGAAAUCACCGAGACUGGCACUCCGUGCCGAGCUACUACCUCUCGGAUGUAGAUAUCGGCACACUUCUUGACCGAGAUGCUCUCCUGGAUCGGUAUGUAAUGGACACUCUUGGUCAACCGAUCCAUGAUGACCCAAAUCGAAUCCACUCCCCGUGCAGUCCUUGGAAGCUUGGUAAUGAAAUCCAUAGUGAUGUCUUCCCAUUUCCACAGCGGAAUAUCUAAUGGAUGGGUCAUGCCGUGAGGCCUCUGUUGCUCGGCCUUGACCUUCCUGCAGGUUAGGAAUAUCUCAACGAACCAUGCUACACCCAUCUUCAUGCAGGGCCACCAAUAAUCAAGACGAAGAUCCCUGUACAUCUUUGUUGCCCCGCGAUGGAUAGAAAACCUAGGUUUAUACGCCUCCUCCAUCUGUACCUAGCGCACACCUCCAUGAUAUGGGACCCACACUCUACGGUGUAGAUUCAACAAUACAAGACUAUCAUAACCGAAGGAGGAAACCUAGCCCACAAUACGCUCACUCUUACGAUGUUCCUCCUUCAUAGCCUCCUGUUGGGCCUCUUGAAUCCGCUCCAACAAUGGAGUCACAACGUUCAUCUUCAAGCAGAUGUCUCUGAUCGGCACUGCCUUGCGGCUAAGCACAUUGGCCACGACAUUGGCCUUCCCCGGGUGGUAGAGGAUCUCACAAUCGUAAUCCUUCACCAUAUCAAGCCACCGACGCUGCCUCAUGUUCAUAUUCGGCUGAUCCAUAAGGUACCUCAAACUCUUAUGGUCCGUGUAAAUGGUACAACGGACCCCAUAAAGAUAAUGAUGCCAAAUCGUGAGGGCAAAAACAACUGCCCCCAACUCCAAAUCAUGUGUCGGAUAGUUCGCCUCAUGAGGCUUCAGCUGCCUCGAUGCGUAGGCGAUAACAUGCCCCCUUUGCAUCAAUACUGCGGGUAAACCCGAGAUGGACACAUCGAAAAAUACCACAAAAUCAUCCAUUCCCUUUGGCAGGGCUAAGAUUGGCGCCUCACAUAAUCUCUGUCUCAAAGUGUUAAAUGCAGCCUGCUGCUCUGACCCCCCAACGAAAGACCACGACUUUCCUCGUCAACCGGGUCAAAGGCACUACUAUCUUGGAGAAGUCCUGAAUGAAUCUCCGAUACUACCCUGCCAAUCCCAGGAAGCUCCGAAUCUCAGAUGGAGACUUCGGGACCUCCCACCUCAUCACGACCUCCACUUUGGCUGGAUCGACUGAAAUCCCGUCCUGGUUGACAAGGUGCCUAAGAAACUGCACCCCACACAACCAGAACUCACACUUGGAGAAAUUAGCAUACAAGCUUGUUGGCUUUUGAGCAUUCUAACACUCCUAUGGUGCACAUGCAACUCUAUAAACCUUGGAUAUAUAUUUUCUCUAUUAUACAUGCAAAUAUUCAAUAUUCCAAGGUUUUAUCCUAACUAGCAUAUUAUGAAGCAACUAUACUAUAAAAGUCUAGUUAGAUGACAUACCAUUUGAUGAAGCUUGAAGUCUUGAACUUUAAAAGCUUAGCCUCAAUAGUGUGGAAGCCUCAAGUGGAAUCACAAAUCACCAAAAACACCUUGGAAAACUUGAGAGAAUAGUAAACACACUUUGGCCCACUCUUGUAUCCUUACACACUAGUGGCAUUUCAUGUGGCAAAGACCUCUUUAAUUAGUUUCUUUUUUUUAUCACCAAAUUAAUUCUAAAUUAAUUCUUGAUCAAUACUAAUUAAAUAAUAUGAUUCCAUAUUAAUAUAUUAGAACUUAUAAUAUAUUAAUAUAAAUCAUAAACAUACUAUUCUCCAAAGACACUCCAUACAAAUUGUUCCGGUGAAGUGCAACCCAAAUGGACCAUGCCAAGUCGGGUGGAAUACAUACUAAUAAAAAUUAUUGACUUAGACAUCCAAUCGAACAGUUUAACACUCAGAUAAGUCUAAAACUAUUAUUGUGUAUGACUCCAAAACCCGACUAGCAAUCGUAGCUCUUAAAGCCGCUGUCGAACUCUUAUCUAGUCAAUAACUUGUCCAUUAGAUAAGGGAUCAUAUAUUCCUCCAUUCUAGAUAUCAUAUGGACUGAGACAUGGAUUAUAAUCAUUCUCUCUAUCCAUUUGUUGUUUCUUGAUUUCCGAUUUUUUACGACCGGCUAAUUGAACAAAUCACAUUAGUCCAAGCUUGGCCAAGCACUUCGGGUUGUCAUGACUAAAUCAUGGAGGGGCCCACAUAUAUCGCUUUUAUCCCUUCAAGGGUAAAAGGAAUGGAUAAACUUCAAAUCAGAUAAUUGUUUUACUAAUUGUUGAAUCAUACACAAAGGCACAUUUUAUAACAUCGAGUUACCAAUGUGUUUUCUUGCAAUCAAUGUAUGACCAAGUCAUAGUCAACGACUCAUAUCUCUAGGUUUGAAGAAUAGAAGAUAUUAUCGUCUCAUGAUCACUCGUGCUAAAAUCCAUGAAGUGAUUCAAAUGAGCAUGGGUUGAAUCUAAUACUCAGAACUUAUGAGCACUCAUGAGUGUUAUAGCAACUCUUGCUAUGUCCAACAUCUUAGACGUCUACAACCUAGAUUCAUGACAGUCUUGCCUUAAUACCUACUUCCAACGUAUUAUCGACUGUGGAUGGUUUGAACAACUUAGUCAUUCAGGAAGAAUGACCUAGUUAUUUUGGAAGUCAAAAAACGCAAAGUGAAACACAAGAAUAAUCGAAUUUAAUUGGUCUCAAAACUUAUGAAUAUAAAUACAACACCUUUUAUUUAUCACCAUAUUGAUUACACAUCAUUCAUUGAAUUUUGUUUCAAAUUAUCAACUUUAUACUUGAAUUAAAACAACAGUUGUCCCAAGCUCCAACCAGGUGCACUAUGUUUUCUAAACACUAGUAAUGCCAUACACCAAGUAUGCACACUAUGUUUUUCCAAACAUUAGUUAUGCUAUACACCAAGUGUGCACACUAAGUUUGUCUAUGAUCUUUACUUUGUAAAAUAGAUCGAUUGAACAUAAUUCCAAUGAUUCUCAUUUCACAAUCCCAAAUCCUUACCGCAAAUGCAAGAAUUCCAAAUUCCUGCCAUUUACCGAAAUCUAUUAGAUUUUAAACUUAUACGCACUGAUCCUCUGUAAUGAUUAUGCAGAAAGUCACAAAGACAUGUCAAUAGACAUUACAAAGUAUUCCAAUGUAGAUCAACUCCAUGGAAAAUGAAGUCUCAUAUUCAAAGUACAUUGCUUUGAACAUCCUUCUUGCAUUAAGUUUUCUAAUCUUACACAUAUUUAAUAGUUUCCACCCAUGGAGACAUUUCCAUAUUCCCAUUUUGACUAUCACUUCUAAACAAGAGUUGCCUCCUUUUAGAAUAUGUCAAUAUGGUCCUUCUAAAAUUAACACUAUACUUCCAACUGUUCCUGAGCAACCAAUCUUUGGUAAACAUUAGAUUGUCCUCGACAAUUGCUUAAUCAUUUUCGUCAUAUCCAAUUCUAGACCUUUUUCCCCCUCUUAAUACCGCCAGACAUUUGGAAAAAUUUAGAAAAGGAUAAUGUUAUAGCACAUGCAAUCGAUCCUACACCGGAAACAUAUGGGAUACGAUUCAUGAUGUCUCACAUAAAGACAUGAUACUAGACCAGUCUUUUUCUAUUAUAUUUCUAUUUCUAUUUGCCAUGUUCUCAUAAUUCAGAUUAUGAAAAGGGAUGUCGUAAUCAUAAUCGAAUUUUAGAAUGCAAAUAAUGUUCCCAUAUAUAGAAUUUCCGUAGGUUGAACCAUUCCAACAUAGCAUUCAUAUAUAUACUUGACUAAAUAUGAUUAAAAUCUCAAUCUAAGCUUUUAGAAUUGAAAUGAAGUACAGUUUCCUCUCCCUUAAUUAUAGCAAAACAACUUUUCCCAAUUAAAACUUUUGUUUUCUAUAAUUAACCUUGCUAACUUGCAACAGUUAUCAUAAUUAUUAUGUGCUCCCACUAACAUGAUGAUUAUUAGCAUAACACUUAUGUUCCCACUAGCUUUGACGUGUACUCAGAAAUCAGCCAGACUUCUAGAAAUCAAUAGUUUAUUGACUUUCUUACUAAAGUUCAGACUUCUGAUACGAAAUGCUUUUAUAAAACUUUAUCAAAAUCAUACACCUUUUCUUAGAUAGCACACAUGUGUGUCUAAACAAUUUCAGAACUAUGAAAAGGGAUGUCAUAAUCAUAUUCUCAAUUGUUUAUAUCUUUUCCAUAUCUCACAAGUCCAUGUUAGUGUGCCGGUUAACGACACACGCUCCACUAACGACUUUGAGAAUGCAAAUAUCACAAUUGUUAUCUACUUAAAAUCACUUAAUGAAAGCAUUUCCUCACCAUCAUUUUCAUGAAUUGGAGAGAAACCUUAUGACACUUUCAUUUUAUGGUGUAUGUGAUCAUAUCCAUGUGAAUUUGUCAAAACCAUAAUCACAAGACAAGGUUAGUGACAAAUCCAAACACAUAUGGAUUUAACUUGUGCAGUCUUAACUUCUUUCCACCUGGCAGCACAAGGGCCUACCAUUUCUUCCAAGUUGUUAUGCAACCAAUUGAGACUCUCAUAACUCAUAUGCAAAGCCAACUUUAACUAGGAUGGGCACAUAAAUAGAAAUAUGUCAACACAAUAGGUUAUAAACUUCAAGUCAUGUGAUAGUGAUAAACUACAAGUUUUAUUCUUGAUUAGACUCCUUCAAGAUCUUUUGGGCUCCCACUGUCCUCUUGACAUAUAAGACUCUCUUGCCAAGACCCAUUCUUUGACUAACAAAUAUUCAAGAGAUAGUGCGGAUUCUAAUCAAGACAAACACUUCACACAAUUGGCCUAAGUUGGUCUCUAUUUUAUCCAAAACAUCACAACUUACCAAUUUCAAGUGUAUAAAAGUAGAGCACAUUUUACUCUUACAUUUGACAAGUGUCAGUAAACCUUCUUCAAGUGUGUCACUCAAAUUACAAUCUUCGAGUAUGACUCUAAGACUUGUUUUGGAACGAAAUAUGACUCAUCUUCUUUAUUUAACCAUUUCAACAAUUCAGGAUUCCUCUUCUUAGUCAUAAGAAUGCACUAAGAUGUCCUUAGAGGACUAAUUGUGAUAUGAUUUCUAAAUCAUUAAGAUGAUCACAAAACAUGAUACUAAAGUACUCUCCCAUCUUUUCAGAUUUGAGGAACUUUUAUCUUUAUGCCUAAUUUGAUUCUUCUCAUUCGUUCUGCCAUACAUCGAAACUUUUCCAAUGUUUCAAAAUUAUACUUAAACUUGUAAGUAUAACCAUAUUUACUAAACUUUAGUAAGUCAUGAUGAAUAGUAUUUUUGAUCUUUUGUGGUGGACUUGACCAGUGCACACGAAUGUGUACACGAUCCCUUUGUCCUUCACCUGACUCACAUAUAAAUGUGAACAAGGAAUUAGUCUUAAUUUUCGAAAGAUGAAAAUUCUCAUUCAUCAUACUAUACAACUUGGAUGAUUCCAAGUUUCGGUCCAAUUGAAAACUUAGGCGAUGAGAAUCUUUCCUUAUUUGGUAAAUUUAGACAUUACCACAAAUGAAAGAAUCAAAUUCAUAUUUCCAAUAUUGCUAGAAACAUACAAACAUCAAAUUUCCAUAAAUACUAUUGCAUGGAGAAAUAAAAUAAAGUAAACAAAAUUUUAUUUAUUUAAAAAAUUCGGAAAAAACUUUUCCUUACAAUGCAACUUUAAAUGGAAACUAUGGUAUUACUUAUUUCCUAGAAAUAUAUCAUAACUCGUAAGUAGUAGCUCAAGAAUCCGAUCUUCGAACCAUGCGAUUGAAAUCCAUCUUCGCGAUCAGAUUCAACAUACUCCCUUUAAGUUUCCUUCCCUUUGCUUGAUCCUGCCAUCCAUCAAAAUGUAUUAAGAAUCUUCAAAUUGGAACUUAAGAGAGUUAGAUAGUGGACUUACAUGAAGAAGAGUCAAACUCUUUGACUUGACCUUCUCUCAGAUCUUUCAGAUAGUUAGGACAGGUUCGCAACCAAUUCCCCUUCCUUUGGCAAUAGAAACAUAUGGACCCUUAGGGAACGGUACACGAGACUAUCUCAAACUUAGCCUUUCUCUUUACCAUUUUGUCAACCGAGUUGACUAUGGACGAUCCCUUUCCAUUGGGAAGAGAAAGCUUUUCUGGAUAUCUAAUGUUACCAUUGUUAAUGUCCAUGGUAGUUUGGGAAGUUGAUCUUCUAAUCAAAUUUUCUUUACCAGUGCUCCAAAUCAUUGCUGAUUCAGCAACACCAAGCAAAUAGAUAAGAUCAUUAAGGGUCAUGUCAUAGUCUGUUACAUAGUAGUCCGUAAAGAACUCACUAUGUGACUUAGGAAGUGAUUAGUCAACAUCCAACUUCCUCAAGACUUUGACACCCAACUCUCCUGGCUUGUCAAUAUGUGACUUCAUAUCCCAGAUGUGAGCACACAUAGACCUUGCUUGCCAAUAAGGCUAGAGUGACCUUGAACUUGUAGGUUAGGAAGAAUAAUUGGAGGAGGUGGAGGUAGAGAAGUAUGAUUUCCAUGAGAUUUGGGAAGAUCAUAGUUGUCUAAACUAGACAUCUACAAUGGAGAAAUUCAAGUUAGUUGAUUUACAACCCUUAAUAUAACACCCAAUAUGAAAUAUUAAGGCUAGGACCCAACACAAUAUUUUAUAACUUGGAAGAGGGAUGCUGUAAUCCAAGCUAUAAAAUAUUUGAAGGUAGGAAAAUGAUGAUUCACCAUAUUCCACCAUGAAAGACGAAAUAAUUUAUUAGGUUUUAAUUGGAUUUGAAACUCCUAGAUCUUUUGAGAUUCAUUGAACUUUUCAAUGGCAUGUUUCCAUCUCGAUUAUGCCCUCUCAAGUUUUGUGACUGGGAUGUCGAGGAUCACAAAACAAGGUGUGAAUUACCAUGAGAAUAUACUUGGUACCCUUAAUAUUUAUCUUUUAAUCGAUGUGCCGGUUAACCACACGCGCUCCACCAAUCCUAUGAUAAACAUAAAGUUACCCUUUGCCUACGUUGUUGAAUCCAGGUUAGUGUACCGGUUAAACGCACACGCUCCACUAACGACUUCAGCAAAGUGCAAAGUGUAAUUUCAUGGGUUAGCACCAAAUUCAUAUUUUCCUAAAGUAACUAUGAUUGGGAAUUUAUAAAAGGUUUAGUUACUUUAUAUUUAUCAUUAUACUUAUAAUGAGAAUUAUACUCCUUGUCCUACCCGUCCGGAUAACGACCCUCCACCAGUUAAGGAAGUAGUGGGUGAGAGUGGACACCCAUUAAGUUGCCAUUUUAUAGGCAACAACCUUAUACUCCCCUUAUAGACCGGCUUCAUGAAUGAGGCCUACUAACCGUAAGAGUGACUUGAUCUUAUAUAUACAUACAUACACAUUAUUAACUUAUAAUACUAUAAAGUAUAACGCUUGAAUUUUAACUUUUAAAAUUCUAGGGUUUGGAAUUAAAGUGUGUGUGAGACUUUACAAAUUCCAAAACUUGAGGGCAAGUCUUCAAAUAUUCAAAAACUUUAUGAUUUUCAUAACUUAUGAGUUUAAUUAAGGUUUUAAAAAAGUAUAAUGAAGAGAUUCUUGAACAUCCAUAACUUGAGGACAAGUUAUGGAGUUCAUAAAACUACUUAUGAGAAAAAUAAUCUUUAAUUAUGUAACCUAUGGUUUUUAAUGGAUCUUUAAAAUAAAUGACUUUUGUUAAUCUAUAAGUUGAGGACAAAUUAUGGACUCCAUUAAAACACAUUCAGAUAUAGAAUUAACUAAUAAAAAUUUGCAAAUAAUUCAUUUGAUCUACCAAAACAUAUAAGUGUAUGAACAAUCAUAUCAACAAUUUCAAGAAUUACAUAAACACAUAUAAAACAUGAAAUUAUUGAUAAUAACCUUGAAAUUGGUUUACCAUAAUCAUUACCACAUCGAAAACAGGUUUUAUAAGUCCAAAACAGUUUAAGGUAAUGAUUCUAGACCAAUUCCAACCUUAAAGCUCGAAGAUAUGUUGUCUAGGGGUUCAACUCGUCGAGUGCAUGAACCAACUCGAUGAGUUGGAUGAAUUUAGGCAUGGACUCGGCGAGUCCAUCAGUGGACUCAGCGAGACUGCUGUCCAGAACAACAGAAAAUCCAUUUUUUCAGCAUUUUUCUGCAAUUUGCAUCAAGUAUAAAUGAAAACAAGCCUAGGCUUUGAUACCACUGUUGGGUUUUGAGCAUUCUAAUACUCCUAUGGUGUACAUGCAACCCUAUAAACCUUGGAUCUAUGUUUUCUCUAUUAUACAUGCAAAUAUUCAAUAUUCCAAGGUUUUAUCCUAACUAGCAUAUUAUGAAGCAACUAUACUACAAAAGUCUAGUUAGAUGACAUAACUUUUGAUGAAGCUUUAAGUCUUGAACAUUAAGAGCUUAAACCCAAUAGUGUGGAAGCCACAAGUGGAAUCACAAAUCACCAAAAACACCUUAGAAAACUUGAGAGAAUACUACGCACACUAGAAAUUGGCCCACUCUUGUAUCCUCACACACUAGUGCCAUUUCAUAUGCCAAAGACCUCUUUAUAUAGUAUGGAGGAUUAUGGUUUCAUCCAUGUAAACCCUAAUACUAUGACCUUUCAUUUCCAUAGGAUCCAUGGGUUAAAAACUCCAUGGACUAUCCAUGCAAGCUUGGCCUUGAUGGGUUUUAGCCAUAAGAACUUUCCUAUGUGCGCAUGCAAAACCCUAAUGCUUGGAUCUAGGCUUUCUAAUUAAACAUGCUUUGAAUCCAAGACUUCUAAUGGCUAAUUAGGUUAAAUAACAACAUUGAAACAGAUCUAGAACCAUACCUUUGAAUUCCUUGUUGAUCUUGUAGUCUUGGAGCUUCUAGAGUCACAAAUGUCACUCCUCUAAUGGCUUACAAACACCAAUAGCAAGGAAGAUGAUUUAGGAGAGAGGAGAGGGGAGGAAAUCGGCCAGGGUUCUCUUACUUUAGGUGAGGUGCCGAUUUCCCUUGCCCAUGGGGUCUAUUUAUACUUGUAGAUUCCUUAAGGGUUACAACCUAAACCCUAAUUGGAUAAUCUUCUCUUAAGGCUAUCCAAAUCCUUUCCUUAGAUAACUCAUUGGACGAUUUUGAAGCUAUCCUAGCUUCUAGAAUCCGUCCCCUAUAUAUCUAUAAGGAUUUAUAGUAUUAAGCUUAACUAUCAAACAAUUGACAGUUUAUACCCCUUUAUUUAAUUAACCUCUUUAAGUCACCAAAUUAAUUCCAAUUAAUUCUAUGACUUAUAUUAAUCAAAUAACAAUAUAUUAUUCUUUAUAUUAUUCCCAUAAUAUAUUAAUAAUAUUUACUCUCUCUUAAUAAAUCAUCCUAUCAAGUUGCUAUGGUGAAGGCAACCCAAAAGGACCAUGCACAACCGGGUCAAAUACUUGCCUAAUAUAGUUGCAGCCUUAGACACUAUUCCAACAGUCUCCCACUUGGAUAAGUCUAGUAACUAUAUGCACAAGUACAAUUCGGUUUGCAAUCGUAGCUCUCAAAGACGCUGUCAAACUCUGAUCUAAUCAAUCUUGUCCUUUAGAUAAGGGAUCGUACAGUCCUCUGUUAGAUAUCAUGCUGACAAUCCUAUGGAAUGGUUAGUCAAGCAUUUAGGUUUCUCGAUCUCUGAUUUAUUUGACAUAGAACUUAAUCGAACACAUCAAUUCAGUUCUGACCGGGCCCGGCACAUAAGUCAAAUCAAAUCAUCGAGCGGCCGAGAUAUCGCUUUUACCUUCUUAGAUAAAAGUUACAGAUAAACUUCGACUUAUAUGCAUUUACUUAUUCAUUAACCAACUAUACACAACAAUGCGUUUUAUAACACCGAGUUACUGAUGCGUUUUCGCAUUAUCAAUGUACAAUCAAUUAACAAAUAACAAACCAUAUAUCUAGGUUUUAAGACUAUAUGAUAUUAUCGUCUUGCGAUCACCCUUUUAUAUCAUAUUCCAUAAGGUGAUUCCAGCAAGCGCGGGUUUGUUCCAAUGCUCAAAACUAGUUCAUAAGCACUCAUGAACGUUGCAGCAACCCUUUGCUAUGUCUAACACCAUUUAGACAAUCUACACACCAAUUCAUGACAAUCUUCAUUCAUAUCUACUUCCAACAUAUGAACGAUUGUGGACAAUUUGAACAAUUCGAUUAUUCCUAAUAAACUCAAUUAUUCUGGAAGUCAAAACAUGCAAAGUGAAACAAUAGUUAAACAAUUAACAUAAGAUAGUAACAUUACUCAUAAAUAAAACUCCUUUAUUUAAUCAUCAAAUGUUAAUUACAUUUAUCUAUUACACGUUUCUAAUACUAUCUAAUCUAUGCUAAUAUCAUCCUUCAGCCCAAUACUCCUAGCAUGCUGCAAGUGCUUAACCCUACUCAGUCCCUUCGUAAGCGGAUCUGCUGGGUUAUCUUCUGAUGAUAUCCUCUUCACUACGAGUUGUCCUUCUUCUACACGAUGUCUAAUGAAGUGAUAUUUUCUGUCGAUAUGUCUUGAUCUACCAUGAUCCCUCGGUUCCUUGGUCAAGGCAACCGCUCCUUCGUUAUCACAGAAAAUCUCCAUGGGCUCCUUUAUGGCAGGUACAACUCCAAGAUCACCGAUGAAGUUCUUUAGCCAUAUUGCCUCCUUCGACGCUUCGCUCGCUGCAAUGUACUCUGAUUCGCACGUUGAAUCAGCUACGGUUUCCUGCUUGGAACUCUUCCAUGUCACUGCUCCUCCAUUUAGGGUAAAGACCCAGCCCGACUGCGAACGGUAGUUGUCCCUGUCGGUCUGAAAACUGGCGUCACUAUACCCUCGCACCUUCAAGUCAUCACUCCCUCCGAGGACUAAGAACCAUUCCUUCGUCCUCCGAAGGUACUUAAGGAUAUUCUUCACCGCAAUCCAAUGUGCUCUGCCAGGAUUCCCUUGAUAUCUGCUAACCAUGCUCAAAGCGAAGGCUACAUCAGGGCGAGUACAAGUCAUAGCGUACAUGAUUGAGCCAACUGCGGAAGCGUAUGGUACUCGGCUCAUUUCUGCUAUCUCAGCUUCGGUACUCGGACUUUGAGUCUUACUCAAUUUGGCAUUACUUUGUAUCGGUAGUUCUCCCUUCUUUGAGUUUUCCAUACUAAAACGUUUUAGUACCUUCUCUAAGUAAGUAUUCUGACUAAGUCCAAUUAGUCUCUUACUUCUUUCUCUUACUAUCCUUAUUCCCAAAAUGUAAGAAGCCUCUCCGAGGUCCUUCAUAGCGAAGCACUUCCCGAGCCAGGACUUAACCUCCUGCAGAGUCGGGAUGUCGUUUCCUAUGAGUAAUAUGUCAUCGACAUAUAGAACGAGGAAGCUUACUAUACUCCCACUGGCUUUGACAUAUACACAAGAUUCGUCUUCGCUUCGUACAAAUCCAAACUCUUUGACUUUCUCAUCGAAGCAAAGAUUCCAUCUGCGAGACGCUUGCUUAAGUCCAUAAAUGGACUUCUCAAGCUUACACACUCUAUUCGGAUGCUUCGGAUCCACAAACCCCUCUGGCAGCCAUGUAAACAUCCUUAGCCAACAUUCUGUUAAGGAAAGCGGUCUUGACAUCCAUUUGCCAAAUCUCAUAAUCAUGAAAUGCGGCAAUUGCUAGCAUCACUCUAAUAGAUUUAAUCUUCGCAACUGGUGAGAAGGUCUCAUCAUAGUCAACUCCGGGAGUUUGAGUAAAGCCCUUCGCAACCAAUCGCGCUUUAUAUGUGUGUACGUUUCCAUCCACGUCGGUCUUCUUCUUGAAGAUCCAUUUGCACCCAACGGUCUUACGUCCGGGCACAUAAUCAACCAAAUUCCAAACUUGGUUAUCAUACAUGGAUUGGAUCUCGCUAUCCAUUGCCUCUUUCCAUUUUGCAGACUCCGGGCCUGCCAUGGCUUCCUUAUAGCUAUUAGGUUCAUCAAGAUUUAUUAGUGUACCAUCACUAAUAUACGUGUCCCCUUCGGUAGUAAUAUGAAAACCAUAAAACUGGGGUUGAACUCUAACUCUAUCGGAACGUCUAAGAGGUAAGGAUUCGUCAAUCGGUUCAACCGGAGUUUCCUCCUCGGGUUGAGUGCCAGCGGUAGAGGUUCCUUCAUCUAUCGACUCUUGAAUCUCUUCAAGCUCGAUUUGCCUCCCACUGUCUCCUUGGCUUAUGAGUUCUCGCUCUCGGAAAACUCCUCUCCUCGCAACGAAGACAACAUUGUCCUUCGGUCUAUAGAAGAGAUAUCCAAAGGAUUUCUGCGGGUAGCCGAUGAAAAUACAUCGCUCACUUCGAGGUUCAAGCUUGUCGUGAGUAUCUCGUCUUACGAAAGCCUCGCAACCCCAAACCUUGAUAUGUGCCAACGAGGGAGCUUUCCCUGUCCACAUCUCGUGAGGUGUUUUGGCAACCUUCUUAGUAGGGACUCGGUUAAGGAUAUGGGCGGCAGUCUCUAAGGCAUACCCCCAAAAAGAGAUUGGUAGUGAAGCACGACUCAUCAUAGAGCGAACCAUAUCCAAUAAGGUUCGAUUACGCCUUUCUGCCACACCAUUCAACUGCGGUGUCCUAGGAGGCGUCAAUUGCGAAACUAUUCCACACUCCUUGAGAUAAUCGUGGAAUUCAAGACUUAGGUACUCUCCUCCUCGAUCGGAUCGAAGCAUCUUGAUUUUCCUGCCCAAUUGAUUCUCCACUUCAUUCUUGAACUCUUUGAACUUUUCAAAGGUUUCUGACUUUUGCUUGAUU